AAUCAACGCUGGCGGCGUGCCUCAGACAUGCAAGUCGAACGCGAAAUUUCCCUUCGGGGGAGAAAGUAGAGUGGCGCACGGGUGAGUAACACGUAGGUAAUUUGCCUUUGGGUGGGGAAUAACUCAGGGAAACUUGAGCUAAUACCGCAUAAUGCAGCGGCUCGACAUCGAGACAGUUGUUAAAGCGGGGGAUUGGAGCAAUCCGACCUCGCGCCUAAAGAGAAGCCUGCGGCAGAUUAGCUAGUUGGUAAGGUAAUGGCUUACCAAGGCGACGAUCUGUAACCGGCCUGAGAGGGCGGGUCGGUCACACUGACACUGACAUACGGGUCAGACUCCUACGGGAGGCAGCAGUCGGG
rnacentral:rRNA from 1 species